AACUUUAUAGUCAUUAAUGAUAUUAGACUGCAAUUCUAAAGGAGUAAAUUUUUUACUAAGGUUU
rnacentral:tRNA from 1 species